rnacentral:sRNA from 1 species
ACACCCUUUGAUUUUUAUUUAUGCUAUGCCGCUGCGAUUAUUACGAGCGUGCUCUUUUCCUGCGAUUGAAGAGAAAAUCAAAGCGGGAGGCCGAUCGUGGCUAACUGAUAAAAGCUCAGUCGCGUUGCGCGCCUCCUGCUGGUUGACUCAUUUACCAUCAGCGCGUCCAUCAUAUGCACGCGACUCGAUGAUUUCUGAUUUCCCUCUGCCGGCCGUCAGCAGAUACUAACUGGUGACUUUCAGGUGACGAACCAUGGUCAAUCAUAGAUGGCCCAUGGCCAAGAAAUACAUCGAAAAGCUGACCUGCGCCUGAAUGCUGUCUUCUACCGGGUACUGAGUAUCAUGAAUAAUGCAAGUGUAUUUUUUGGUAG